rnacentral:rRNA from 1 species
GUGCGGCCAUUCCCAAAGCGGAGGAAAAGAAACCAACAGGGAUUGCCUUAGUAGCGGCGAGUGAAGCGGCAAAAGCUCAAAUUUGAAAUCUGGCUCUUUCAGAGUCCGAGUUGUAAUUUGAAGAAGGUAUCUUUGGGUCUGGCUCUUGUCUAUGUUUCUUGGAACAGAACGUCACAGAGGGUGAGAAUCCCGUGCGAUGAGAUGAUCCAGGCCUAUGUAAAGUUCCUUCGAAGAGUCGAGUUGUUUGGGAAUGCAGCUCUAAGUGGGUGGUAAAUUCCAUCUAAAGCUAAAUAUUGGCGAGAGACCGAUAGCGAACAAGUACAGUGAUGGAAAGAUGAAAAGAACUUUGAAAAGAGAGUGAAAAAGUACGUGAAAUUGUUGAAAGGGAAGGGCUUGAGAUCAGACUUGGUAUUUUGUAUGUUACUUCUUCGGGGGUGGCCUCUACAGUUUAUCGGGCCAGCAUCAGUUUGGGCGGUAGGAGAAUUGCGUUGGAAUGUGGCACGGCUUCGGUUGUGUGUUAUAGCCUUCGUCGAUACUGCCAGCCUAGACUGAGGACUGCGGUUUAUACCUAGGAUGUUGGCAUAAUGAUCUUAAGUCGCCCGUCUUGAACACGGGGAACCAAAA